rnacentral:rRNA from 1 species
GAUGAACGCUGGCGGCGUGCCUAAUACAUGCAAGUCGAGCGAACAGACGAGGAGCUUGCUCCUCUGACGUUAGCGGCGGACGGGUGAGUAACACGUGGAUAACCUACCUAUAAGACUGGGAUAACUUCGGGAAACCGGAGCUAAUACCGGAUAAUAUAUUGAACCGCAUGGUUCAAUAGUGAAAGACGGUUUUGCUGUCACUUAUAGAUGGAUCCGCGCCGCAUUAGCUAGUUGGUAAGGUAACGGCUUACCAAGGCAACGAUGCGUAGCCGACCUGAGAGGGUGGUCGGCCACACUGGAACUGGGACACGGUCCAGACUCCUACGGGAGGCAGCAGUAGGGAAUCUGCCGCAGUGGGCGAAAGCCUUACGGAGCAACGCCGCGUGAGUGAUGGAGGUCUUCGGAUCGUAAAACUCUGUUAUUAGGGAAGAACAAAUGUGUAAGUAACUAUGCACGUCUUGACGGUACCUAAUCAGAAAGCCACGGCUAACUACGUG